rfam:Angiostrongylus cantonensis strain Taiwan genome assembly, scaffold: ACAC_contig0008688
GACCGCUUGGCGCAAUGGUAGCGCGUUCGAUUCCAGAUCGAAAUGUUGGGCAUUCGAUCCGCUCAGUGGUGA